rnacentral:pre_miRNA from 11 species
AUAUUAUGGUGCAGCCAAGGAUGACUUGCCGAAAAUAAUUUGCUCGAUCGUUAAUGUGCUUCUCCAGUUUCUAUUGCAAUUUAUGCAUAGGGCAAUAUAUAUAUCCUUUAUAGCUUGUUAAUUCAGAUAUUGACUGAGGAAUCAAUAAUGGGCAAGUUGUGUUUGGCUACAUGUUUAUCUCA